rnacentral:rRNA from 1 species
AAUAUCAAAGCUGAGCCAGUACAGGAUGGACCCACGUCUGUUUAGCUAGGUGGUAGGUAACGGCUUACCAAGGCGACGAUCAGUAGCCGACCUGAGAGGGUGAUCGGCCACCUUGGAACUGAGACACGGUCCAAACUCCUACGGGAGGCAGCAGUGGGGAAUAUUGCACAAUGGGCGAAAGCCUGAUGCAGCAGCGCCGCGGGAGUGAUGAAGGCCUUCGGGUCGUAAAACUCUGUCCU